GAACCCUUGGCGCAGCGGUAGCGCGUGAGAUUCCAGCUUGCUGGGAGAUCCUCAAGGUCAUCCGUUCAAAUCGGGUAGGGUUCA